UGGGGAAUUUUGGACAAUGGGCGCAAGCCUGAUCCAGCCAUGCCGCGUGUGUGAAGAAGGCCUUCGGGUUGUAAAGCACUUUCGGACGGAACGAAAUCGCGCGGUUGAAUAUCCCGCGUGGAUGACGGUACCGUAAGAAGAAGCACCGGCUAACUACGUGCCAGCAGCCGCGGUAAUACGUAGGGUGCAAGCGUUGUCCGGAAUUACUGGGCGUAAAGCGCACGUAGGUGGCGACGUAAGUCGGGUGUGAAAGCCCCGGGCUCAACCUGGGAAUUGCAUUCGAGACUGCAUUGCUGGAGUACGGAAGAGGAGGGCGGAAUUCCCGGUGUAGCGGUGAAAUGCGUAGAUAUCGGGAGGAACAUCAGUGGCGAAGGCGGCCCUCUGGUCCAGUACUGACACUCAAGUGCGAAAGCGUGGGGAGCAAACAGGAUUAGAUACCCUAGUAGUCCCUGAGCGGGCUGGCAAGGCGCAU
rnacentral:rRNA from 1 species